rnacentral:lncRNA from 1 species
UAUUCAAGCAAGGGACUGCUGAUGUUGAAGAGAUUUUCCACCUUGCCCAACUGUCGACGUGGCUUAAAUUGAAGUUUGGAACUCUUCCUUUUAGUUACUCUUUCUCGGAGUGGAUCCUCAGUCCUGGUGCGUGCUUAUCAAGCUACUGAAGAAGAGGGUGCUGAGUUACAGAACUUGUCCGGUUUGUGGGAACAAAAGGGUGGGAGUGGGGGAUUCUGGAUAUAGUGAAACAGGG